rnacentral:lncRNA from 1 species
UCGGCUACAAAACUGGCAUGGUGAGCUCCUCUCUUUCCUCUGCUCCUCGCCUCUGGUUGCUCUGAGCUCGUGCCCAUCGAGCCACAGCUAUGCCAUGUUAGGAUUUGGCCUCUAAUGGUCACUAUGGAUGGAUGCUAUGGUUCCUGUGAUGUGCUAGGGUUGUAUGAAUUGCCUCAUAAUUGAGCCAUUGGUCCAUGUGUAUGCGUUUUUCUCUUGUGAGCUAUUUGACAGGAGUUUACUAAGUGUUUGUGUAGUGCAAAUGUGUUCUGCAUACAAGCUUAUCACCCUUAGUUAGAUAUAGCAUGUACAAACUCUUCUUAUGAUUAUAUGGCUCACAAUCUCAAGCUUGAGGGGUUGGUUGUCGUGCUACAGUUGUUGGGGUGUAGGUGGGAUGUUAGUUUUAACUAGCUGGUGGUGCUGGUGUGGUUGACACCACACCAGUGACUCAGCCAAGCUCCUAGUGUGCUGGAUUUACUGAUUAAUGGGGUUUUUGCAGCAAGGUAGAGUUGAUCUGGCCCUUGCGAAACAAGGAAAUUUGUUCCUUUUUUUGUUGGACACUUGUAGCUAAAAAGAGUGACUAGGACAUCGCUGUCUUUUUAUUGCCGCUUGAUUUGGACCCUUUAGCCUUGUUGAUAGCUAGCAUGCCCUGCGACUAACGAUUACGCAAAGAACUCUUAUCUACUCUUGGUAAUUUACUAUGAAAACUCUUCAGUUUGAACGGGCCGAGUUGAUUGAUCUUAUUUAUGACCAUCAUGAUCCUUUUUAUUGGUUUUGUUGUUGAAACAACGCAAACUAGGAGAGAGAUUAGAUGACUGACUGAGAGCUAUUUGUUGGGUCGGUUGCGGAAAGAAUGUUGUGAUGUGCUUCAGAAUACACUAUUGUUGUACUUUAUGGGUUGCUUCCUUGUGAUGCCCUUAUUGCUCGGCCAUUAAUUGAUCUUGUUCUCUCUCGCUCUUUGCCCAGGAUGGUGAGAAGAAAUAUGAGCUAGAGAUGGUGCACCCACAAUCAUUGGGUAAGGUCGUUUUUGAUCUUCCGGAGGGCAGAGCGGGGCGAGAAGAGUCUUGAUGGAGCUUGGAGGUAUAUGGGAAGUCUGGUGGUUUGCUUUACAUUUCGAUUAUCUAUAUAUGGGUUGUUCCGGCUGGGUACUUGUUUUGCUGGGUGCUUAUUUUAUAUCCAACCGCUGUCUCUUUGAAACGCGAUGUCCUCUGCUUCUCUAUAGGAGAUUAGAGGUAAUUUUGGGGUUUGCAAAAUCAUGCUUUGUCAUGGGAUGAUUUAUUGGAAAGAAUUUCAAACAACAUGAUGUUUGUUUUCUGAAUCCAAACCAUAAUGUAGUACUGUAUGUUGUAAUUUUUUAACAUGUUAAUUGAAUUGAUAGUAAUCGUUCUUGGAGGUGUAGGUUUGGCUUUUUAUCCAAUGUAUGAACUGAUGGAUCAUCCUCUGGGUUAUGCUUCCUGAAUAGCGAAGAGCUAAUCAUCCUGGUGAUUGGUCAAAUAAAAGUUCAUCUUGUUUCAGUUGCCCCUGUAGUGAUAGGGAUGCAGUGUGAUGUUGAAAAAGGCCACAGGUAAUUUUCAGAGCCACAAACAUACUGGUAGCAACAUUACUUUGCUAAAUAAGUCUUGGUGAUGCUAUGUUCCUUUGUCGAAAUCCUCAGUUGCAUUGUCGUCUAUUUGAUCCAUGCAUGCUUACUUAUGCAAUCUAGCCAAUGUGUGUGUAGUUGUUUGACUUAUUUUUCCCUCUGUGUUGUGAUGCAUGUGCAGCUGUUGAUCGGGAACCAGCCAUUGGUGUACCUCAAUAAGGUCACCAACGGCUGCAUGGGCGAGUCGCCGCAAAGCUUGAGUCCAUGGAGCCCUGCUCCAGCCUCAAGGAGAGGUUAGGCAGCUGCUCCUUUUUUCUGGAUCCCCGUGAUUUGUUUUUGUUGUUGUUGUUGUUUUUCAAUCUGGGCUCAAGAUUUGUUAUGUGUGUUGCCCUUGUGCAGGAGAAAUGGUUCAUCGAGCCAGGCAAGGUGCGCGGUGGUAGGCUCGGUCUCCAGCCUCAGCGUCUUCUGUCGGCCCCUUUGCCAUGUGGCGCCGGCGGUGCUGUUCGAAGUCGGCUACAAAACUGGCAUGGUGAGCUCCUCUCCAUCCUCUGCUCCCCGCCUCUGGUUGCUCUGAGCUCGUGCCCAUCGAGCCAAAACUAUGCCAUGCUAGGAUUUGGCCUCUAAUGGUCAAUGUGGAUGGAUGCUAUGGUUCCUGUGAUGUGCUAGGGUUCAUAUGAAUUGCCUCAUAAUUGAGCCAUUGGUCCAUAUGUAUGCGUUUUGCUCUUGUGAGCUAUUUGACAAGAGUUUACUAAGUGUUUGUGUAGUGCAAAUGUGUUCUGCAUACAAGCUUAUCAUCCUUAGUUAGAUAUAGAAUGUACAAACUCUUUUUAUGAUUAUAUGGCUCACAAUCUCAAGCUUGAGGGGUUAGUUGUGGUGCUACAGUUGUUGGAGUAGGUGGGAAGCUGGUGGUGCUGGUGUGGCUGACACCACACAAGUAACUCAACCAAGCUUCUAGUGUGCUGUAUUUACUGAUUAAUGGGGGUUUUUGCAGCAAGGUAGAGUUUCUUUCUUCCCAUAAUGAACAUAUUGAAAGUAGCAAAUAUGCUAUGCAAUUAGGUGGUAGGUGGUGCUCGUUUGAAUCUGAAACAUAGAUACAAUAUAGGUGGUGCUCGAAGCACACAUAUUUUCUAGUUGUUUUAUGGGUAACAACGUUCAGGCACACAUUUCUCCUAAAAUUCCUCACCAUUCUGGCAUUUUAGUUCUCAAUGGCUUUUCCACUUUCAGUGAGUUAUGGAAGGAAUUUGUCUGGUAUGGAUGGUUUGAUCAUUGAGUUAAUGAAAAUGUUUCUGAGACAUAAAUCCCACUCAUUUUAGUACCUAUAUCAAUUUUAACCUUUUUAAAAUAUUUCACAGACCACAUAUUCACUUGUUUGAAAAAUGUAUCUGAAACAUAGAUACAAUAUUGUUGUUGUUUAAAAGGUCUUGUCUUCGGGAUCUUAAAUAUACAAAAAUAUUCAAAAUGGACUUACACUUUAGAAGUGUUGUCUUAUGUAUGUUUGCGCAAUACAAUAUGCUCAUGUGAUCCUUAUGUUGGUGAUCUUUUAGGAAGCACGACAGGUCGCGUAAAGAGGAGGAAAAGAAAGCUGAGUGCUCAACUUGUUUAGAGGACUAGCCUUUCUUCUUCCUUGAAAGAAACGUUGAAAGGUAAGACAUGACAGCGGCAAGCAUAGAUAGGCAUUGGAGAUGUUUUUUUCUUUCUCUAGUCCAUUUACUGAAUGGGGUGGUGCUUUAUUUCUUCCAGAGGAGAAGAUGUGCUGAAACUAGAUGUAAAGAUGCAUGACCCUUUCUUUGAUUUCGUCUACGCGCUUGAUUCUGAAGUAGGAUGAUCAAAUUUAGAUGGUAUUUACUUUUUUUUGUAGGGCAAGUAUAAUGUUUGCCAAGUCAAUCAAUAUAUAUUGACAUGCUCCCUGGGAUGAGAUGGCAAACCAUUUAGAUCAAGCCAUUUUAGUUUGCUGCAUUCAAAUUCCAAACCAAUUAAUGUCCACUUUUAGUUUAAGCCAUGAGAUGAUGGCAAACCAACUCAGUUUGCUGCACUUGGUUGUAGAAAUGUCACUCACUGUUCCAGAUUAUUACUUGAGGUUAUAUAUGCUAUACGUAUAAACUAUGCUAGUGUUUGAUCUGGCCCUUGCGAAACAAGGAAAUUUGUUCCUUUCUUUUGUUGUUGCACACUUGUAGCUAAAGAUUGACUAGGACAUUGCUAUUUUUUAUUGCCGCUUGAUCUGAACCCUUCAGUCUUGUUGAUAGCUAGCGUGUCCUGCGACUAACGAUUAUGCAAAGAACUCUUAUCUACUCUUGGUAAUUUACCAAGAAAACUCUGCAGUUUGAACGGACCGAGUUGAUUGUGACUAUCACGAUCCUUUUGAUGGGUUUUGUUGUUCAAACAACGCAAACUAGGUGUAGCGACCAGACCUCAAACAGUCUGAUCUACCGUGCACCAGUGUCAUCCCUGGAUCAGUAAUGCUGACACGCACAGUACUUGGAGGAUUUAUAACAGAGUAGCAAUCACACACUUAUUACAUCGAGUAUCUCAAGAGAGAAAUAAGUAUGACAAAUAUGGCUUAAGGCCAUCUAAAAUAAUAACAGCGGAAGACUUGGAAGAUAAGUGAGUCCAUCAACUCCAACGGCAUCACUGAGUAUAAGACCACGACCUAAGGCACCUUACUCGUCGUCUGAAAAGUCUGCAACAUGAAACGUUGCAGCCUGAAAACGGGUCAGCACAUGGAAUAUGCUGGCAAUGUAACACAUAGAGAGUAAUGAACAGAAUAAUGCUAUACUACAUGCAUAUAUGGCUGGUAGAAGGCUCUAUGGUUACAGUUUUGCGAAAAGCCAAUUUUUCCCUACUGCAAAGGAAUAAAUUUUAUUUAACUAUCAUGGUGGUUGUUAAACAUUGAGAAUGGUUGACAGCAUUCUCAAUCCCAAUUAAGUAUCAUCAUUAAAACCCAACAAAAUUAAUUAAAGUAACAUGAUGAGAUUCACAUGAUAAUCCAGAUACUAAAUACUCAAGGUGUCCAUAACCGGG